CAGGCAUUAGCUCUAUAAGAGCGUGUUGUUCGUGGGAGUGUGGGCCCCAUAGGAAUCAGAUCACUGAAAGAAGAGUACAACGAAUUAUACUGUAUAUUUAGUACAUUUAGAUAAUGAUGUUUAUAACACAUCUGGCUGUUGUUUUGUUGAGCAUGUCUUUAAUACCACAAAUAAGCUUUUCAUAUGAGCUUCAAGAUACAAUUCAUACUCUGAGAGAGGAGAAUGCGUAUCUACAUCACAGACUGAAAAACCUCACUCAGGCUCUGCGGGAACUGAGAAAACUGCUUUUGGACAAUUCAAAAGAGUCUACUGUGGCUCAUGAUAGUGACCAGUUGCAUGCCUGGAAUGAAUGGAUUAAGAAUGGUAUCAGUACGGAGACGCAUCUCAUGUUAGGACAAGCUUUCUGUUUGCCAGAUCUUCAUGCUGGGGCAAAUUCAUAUUUCCUAGAACAAAUGCUUCUUCUAUCAUGUUUUAUUUGGAUUGUGUUUAUUCUUACCUAAAUGCUGACAAUACAGUAUGUUACUCAACUUUUAAACCUGAUGCCAAAUUCCAAAGAAAAGCCCAGUCUAAGUAUUUGCAAUCCAAGUCUAUAAUUUGUAGAAACAUAAAGCCUACUUUAACACUUUACAUACCGUAGUCCUCUCAACUAAAUGUAAUUGAUUAGUCUGCUGGCUUAGGCUUGACUUUAGUUUUAUUUGGUCAUGCCUUAACUUCUUUUGAUAUCAACAUUUAAACAUUGUGUCUAUUUAUGUCACAGAACUUGGCUUCUGGUGACUUUUUUUCUGGUUAUACUUUUUAUUUUGUUACUUAGCUGAUAAGCAGCAAAGCAAACAUUAGGACUUUCAUUAAAUGUAUUAUUGUAUUCUUUAUUUAUUGGACAUGUAUAGAUUUAAGAUCAUAUACAACAAGAAACUUUCUGUCUUUUACUCUGAAAAUGUAAAUAAAGAAUCAC